GAUGAACGCUAGCUACAGGCUUAACACAUGCAAGUCGAGGGGAAACGGCAUUAAGUGCUUGCACUUUUUGGACGUCGACCGGCGCACGUGAGAGGAACGCGUAUCCAAUCUUCCCAUGACUAAGGGAUAACCUGCCGAAGGUCAGACUAAUUCAUUAUGUUCUUCACUGACGGCAUCAGAGGUGAAGGAAAGUUCUUUACGUUAUGGAUGGGGAUGCGUCUGAUUAGCUUGUGGUCGGGGUAACGGCCCACCAAGGCAACGUUCAGUAGGGGGUCGGAGAGGAAGGACCCCGAGAUUGGAACUGGGCCCCGGUCCAAACUCGUACGGGAGGCAGCAGUGAGGAAUAUAGGGCAAUGAGCGAGAGCCUGAACCAGCCAAGUAGCGUGCAGGAUUACGGCACUAUGGGUUGUAAUCUGCUUUUGUAUGGGGAUAAGGUCAAUCACGUGUGAUUGUUUGCAGGUACCAUACGAAUAAGGACCGGCUAAUUCCGUG
rnacentral:rRNA from 1 species